GUGCGGAGCUACGUGUCAUGGCGUCCUACCCUUCGGCGGCGCCAUCCCCGUGGGCGGCGCAGGCGCGGAACUCGGCCUCCGGUAAGUCCUGUUUUCUUCUGAAUUUUUGUCUGAAUUCAGGGGGUGUGCGAUGUAGUUGCUCUGGACAGAGGGGGAGAGGUGGCUUGGGGAGGGAUUGGGCGACGACAGCAAUUUCACUGGUGUUGGUGUGCCGUCCAGGGGAGCGUACACAACGGCCGCGGGCGGUGUAGACUUAAGCGCCGCUGCUGCCCAUCGCGGUGGACCGGGAGGAAGCGUUGGAAGCCGUCGGUGCACAGUGCAGCGGCCAUCAGCGACAACACAAGUACACAACUGCAGUGGGGCGGCGCUCUCCUUCCGGCGGUGUGCCGGAUUUGCCCACAAGUUCGGCCGUCGCGAACAUCGGCGAAGCCCAUCGUGGUUCGGUUGGGCCUCCUCUCGCGGGUCCUCGACCCGUCCCCUCUCGAUGCAGGUCCCAGAAUGCCUCCACUUUCCUCCAGCUAUAUCGGUGUGGUCUUCUUCUUUAUGAUUAAUUGAGCAUCUGUACAAAUGAUCUGGUGCUGUUCAUACAGAGUAUAUGUGCUCUGAUUGAGAUUAGAGAUGAUGGCAAUCGUUAUACAUCAUUGAUGGCAAUUCUUUAACUUAUAUGUCUAUUUUUAGAUUUGAAUCAAUCCACCCUGGUAAGACACAAAAAACAGAGGUACAUCAUGUGGCAAUUGUUUGUGUUGUUAGCCACCCUUUUGUUGAAUUUUGCCAUGGCAAGUUCACAUUUAGUCACAUUUGCAAAUUUGUCACAUUGCCAAAUUAUGAACGUCCAACCUUUUGUC
rnacentral:lncRNA from 1 species